rnacentral:ncRNA from 1 species
GGUAUCGUGAGGGAAGUGUAUGGGGUAGUACGAGAGGAACUCCCAUGCCGUGCCUCUGGUUUCUGGAGUUUGUCGAACGGCAAGUGCUCCGACGCUAUCGCACGGUGGUUCUCGGCUGAACGCCUCUAAGCCGGAAGAAGCCAAUCCCAAGACCAGAUGCC